rnacentral:rRNA from 1 species
AUUGAACGCUGGCGGCAUGCCUUACACAUGCGAGUCGAACGGCAGCACGGACUUCGGUCUGGUGGCGAGUGGCGAACGGGUGAGUAAUGUAUCGGAACGUACCUUUCAGUGGGGGAUAACGUAGCGAAAGUUACGCUAAUACCGCAUAUUCUGUGAGCAGGAAAGCAGGGGAUCGAAAGACCUUGCGCUGAUUGAGCGGCCGAUAUCAGAUUAGCUAGUUGGUGGGGUAAAGGCCUACCAAGGCGACGAUCUGUAGCGGGUCUGAGAGGAUGAUCCGCCACACUGGAACUGAGACACGGUCCAGACUCCUACGGGAGGCAGCAGUGGGGAAUUUUGGACAAUGGGGGCAACCCUGAUCCAGCCAUGCCGCGUGAGUGAAGAAGGCCUUCGGGUUGUAAAGCUCUUUCGGCCGGGAAGAAAUCGCAUAGGCUAAUACCCUGUGUGGAUGACGGUACCGGAAUAAGAAGCACCGGCUAACUACGUG